CCUACGGGAGGCAGCAGUGGGGAAUAUUGCACAAUGGGGGAAACCCUGAUGCAGCGACGCCGCGUGAGUGAAGAAGUAAUUCGUUAUGUAAAGCUCUAUCAGCAGGGAAGAAAAUGACGGUACCUGAGUAAUAAGCCCCGGCUAACUACGUGCCAGCAGCCGCGGUAAUACGGAGGGGGCAAGCGUUAUCCGGGUUUACUGGGUGUAAAGGGAGCGUAGACGGCAGUGCAAGUCUGGAGUGAAAGGCGGGGGCUCAACCCCCGGACUGCUCUGGAAACUGUACGGCUGGAGUGCGGGAGAGGUAAGUGGAAUUCCUAGUGUAGCGGUGAAAUGCGUAGAUAUUAGGAGGAACACCAGUGGCGAAGGCGGCUUACUGGACUGUAACUGACGUUGAGGCUCGAAAGCGUGGGGAGCAAACAGGAUUAGAUACCCCAGUAGUC
rnacentral:rRNA from 1 species